GAUGAACGCUGGCGGCGUGCCUAAUACAUGCAAGUCGAGCGAACAGAUGAGGAGCUUGCUCCUCUGACGUUAGCGGCGGACGGGUGAGUAACACGUGGAUAACCUACCUAUAAGACUGGGAUAACUUCGGGAAACCGGAGCUAAUACCGGAUCAUAUAUUGAACCGCAUGGUUCAAUAGUGAAAGACGGUUUUGCUGUCACUUAUAGAUGGAUCCGCGCCGCCUUAGCUAGUUGGUAAGGUAACGGCUUACCAAGGCAACGAUGCGUAGCCGACCUGAGAGGGUGAUCCGCCACACUGGAACUGAGACACGGUCCAGACUCCUAAGGGAGGCAACAGUAGGGAAACUUCCGCAAUGGGCGAAAGCCUGACGGAGCAACGCCGCGUGAGUGAUGAAGGUCUUCGGAUCGUAAAACUCUGUUAUUAGGGAAGAACAAAUGUGUAAGUAACUAUGCACGUCUUGACGGUACCUAAUCAGAAAGCCACGGCUAACUACGUG
rnacentral:rRNA from 1 species